CUCCAUAGCCUAUCCUUCCUGGAACGGUGGAUAGGCAAAAGCUCCGGCGGCGUAGGAUGGCUCUGCGGCCUAUCAGGUUGUAGCGAGGGUAACGUCCUCGCUAGCCUACGACGGGUAUGGGUGUUGGGAGACAUCGCCCAGAGAUGGAUUCUGAGACACGAAUCCAGGCCCUACGGGGCGCAGCAGGCGCGAAAACUGCACAAUGUGGGAAACCACGAUGCGGGAAACCCAAGUGCCAGCGCUAUGCGUUGGCUGUCCUCCAGUGUUCGUAACUGGGGAAGAAAGUGCUGGGUAAGACGGGUGCCAGCCGCCGCGGUAAUACCCGCAGCACAAGUGGUGGUCAUUAUUAUUGGGCUUAAAGCGUCCGUAGCUGGCUUGUUAGAUGCCUGGGUAAAUCGAUGCGCUCAACGUAUUGAACUCCGGGUAGACCGGCAAGCUCGAGACCGGGAGAGGUGUAGGCUACUCGAGGGGUAGGGGUAAAAUCCUGUAAUCCUUCGGGGAGGACCAGUGGCGAAGGCGCUACACUAGAACGGCUCUGACAGUGAGGGACGAAGCCCUGGGGCGCAAACCGGAUUAGAUACCCGGGUAGUCCAGGGUGUAAACGCUGCGGACUUGGUGUCGGAGAUCCUACGAGGGUUCCCGGUGCCGUAGAG
rnacentral:rRNA from 1 species